rnacentral:rRNA from 1 species
UGGCUCAGGAUGAACGCUAGCGGCAGGCUUAACACAUGCAAGUCGAGGGGUAGAAGUCUUCGGACUUUGAGACCGGCGCACGGGUGCGUAACGCGUAUGCAAUCUACCUUUUACAGAGGGAUAGCCCAGAGAAAUUUGGAUUAAUACCUCAUAGUAUAAUGACUCGGCAUCGAGAUAUUAUUAAAGUCACAACGGUAAAAGAUGAGCAUGCGUCCCAUUAGCUAGUUGGUAAGGUAACGGCUUACCAAGGCUACGAUGGGUAGGGGUCCUGAGAGGGAGAUCCCCCACACUGGUACUGAGACACGGACCAGACUCCUACGGGAGGCAGCAGUGAGGAAUAUUGGACAAUGGGCGCAAGCCUGAUCCAGCCAUGCCGCGUGCAGGAUGACGGUCCUAUGGAUUGUAAACUGCUUUUAUACGAGAAGAAACA